rnacentral:rRNA from 1 species
GUGGGGAAUCUUGCGCAAUGGGCGAAAGCCUGACGCAGCCAUGCCGCGUGAAUGAUGAAGGUCUUAGGAUUGUAAAAUUCUUUCACCGGGGACGAUAAUGACGGUACCCGGAGAAGAAGCCCCGGCUAACUUCGUGCCAGCAGCCGCGGUAAUACGAAGGGGGCUAGCGUUGCUCGGAAUUACUGGGCGUAAAGGGCGCGUAGGCGGACAGUUUAGUCAGAGGUGAAAGCCCAGGGCUCAACCUUGGAAUUGCCUUUGAUACUGGCUGUCUUGAGUACGGGAGAGGUGAGUGGAACUCCGAGUGUAGAGGUGAAAUUCGUAGAUAUUCGGAAGAACACCAGUGGCGAAGGCGACUCACUGGCCCAAUACUGACGCUGAGGCGCGAAAGCGUGGGGAGCAAACAGGAUUAGAAACCCCGGUAGUCC